CAACAAAGAGGCGGAGCUCUGGCCCUUAGCUCCUCCCAGCAGACGCUGCCGACUGUUUUCUUUAUCGCUGCUGUGGGACAGCAUGACGGCCCUCCUGUCCGCCUGUUAACACACACACAGGCAAUGUACACAGCCUCCAGGCACCACUCCGGCCACCAGGACGGGGGAGUCUCCUCUGAGUGUGAGACCCAGUCCACCCUCUCUCCUCUGCAGGCAGAUCACACGUACCGGACCCCACCGAGCCCGAGCACAAAACACUGACAGAGGCCCCUGUAGUGGAGGGAAGAGCCAUCUUCAACUCAAGUAAUAAAUUAAGCUGCAGUUUUUAUAAUGGGUCUCUUAAUUGCCUCUGUUUUCAUGACCCACGGGGCAGUGGAUUUGUGUAUUUCCCUAAAUGUCAGACUGUUCUCAAAAUGAAUUUGUCCUACCAGUUGUUGGAAGAUAUCAGUAACUUGGACUGUAGAGAAGUUGGGUGGAGUGAUGUCUGGUUUCUGAUGGGUUUGAGCUGACAACAGAAGAGACCACAAUCACUUACUGUCAUGUAACCACAGAAUCAUAUUAUUGAUACGACUUAAAACUGGCACUUACACUGUAUCUCCGGAGCCUCUGCGGUUUCAUCAAAGUCGUCCUCUCUGUCCAGCUCGGAGUACUUGUCCAAAGAGCGUUUGUGUGUGAGAGACAGCACGUCCUGCAGGAUGUCCAUCUUCCUCAGGAUCUUACACAGACUGUGGACACGCAUGGCCUCCUCAUGUCUGAUCACUGCACGCCGCAAGGUCUCUUAACACCUGGCUGAGUGGUGGCCCUGCAGGAACGUUGAUGUAGAACUGAAGGAAAGCCUUCUCUGCUUCCUCGUCACCUUCCUCCUCCUCCUCCUCAGCAGACACUACAGGACAAGACGCGCCAUUUAUUAAUCCGUGUAAUUCAUUCAAAACCUACCCUAACAUUUCUAAAAGGUACUUCAUUUCAUUCUUAAGAGAAUACAUGUCAGGCAAAUUUAACUAAGAUGAGGCAGGAUUUCACAUUGCAUAGUUUAAAUGCUGUCCUGCCAUAACAAGUCUUGGCAGUCUGCUCUGCAAAUUAUCACAAACUGAACAGGCCAUAGUCUGCACUACAAAACCUUAUCCAUGCUAUCUGUACAAAGUGCUUCUGUCUCAAUAAUAAUGAAUGUAAUUUGUUAAUCUUGCUUUUAGUUUUUAGGAUGGCUCUUUGUACAAGGCCUCAGCUUGCUACCUCUUCUGCACAGUAUGUGUGUUUUUUGUAUAUAUAAAUGUCUUCAUGUCUUUAUCUCUGUGCUAGGGAUGCAGGGAUUACCAGAUUUCAGUAUUAACCAAGCUUUAAAACGUCACAGUUAAUUAAUCCUGAAGGCUCCGCUACACAGAGUGUUUCUGUUGCAGGGAAAGGAACUGUUGCAACUUGCCCAAAACGAAAAUAAAAAGUUACAUGAGCGUUGCACCAGCUUAAAGUGCCGUGCUUAUCAGAGACACGGGGGCUACUACUGUACACUAGCGUAACUCUGGCAGAGGGACCAAACUGUGAAGCUUUAUUUCCACCAAAGAAACAGCUGAAGUCGGCAUUGUGGGAUCAUUUCCUGUACACCAAGACUGACCAGGGCGUUACUGAAGAUGAUGGAUCACCUUGCCAUUCAAAGGUUGCUGCUAAAGGAGCGAAUACCUACAUCAAACUUGAUGCAGCACCUGAGGGAUCACCACCCAGCUUUGCACGCCCAAGUAAAGGUAACUGAGUUAAAUAACGUGGCAAGUUGGUAGGGAAGUAAAUAUAAACGUGUCCCUUACAAUCAAUGCCGGUGAGAGUCGAGCUUUCAGUGCAUCGUAAACAAACAAAGCAGCAUUUAACCUUUCAGACCCACCGCAGCACUAUGAGGCCCAUUAUUGGCAAUGGCUUAUGCCACGCCACGGUGGGUUGUCGCUGCGUUGGGCAACGCGCACCGCAUCGCUUGGCGAGCUUGCGUGCGCUCGCGUGCACACUACGGCUAAAGUACUUGAAAUUUUGCACUGAACCCAGCUAGCAAUGCAGUACAAAUCACUUGUUUUCUGAAAGGGCCGUCAUGGAAGACGUUGUCCUCUGCAGACCUUCAGUCACUGAACAUUUAACGUUACAUCCUGCUGCCUCCUAUUGUCUGCGUUGAGAAAAUGUUGUAUGUUAAUAUGCCAGGUAUAAAACACUAACACUAACAUAACAUCAGAAACUUAUAAACUUCCAGGACUACCAAUUACCUGCAUUUCUGGUCUCAAUUUCAAUCAUUUUCACUAAAACUUACACAUGAGUUUAGAGAGUUGAUUACAAUAACAGUUCAGUUUAUUCCCCUCCAUACUAAUAACUAAUAUUUGUCUUAUAAUAUUAAUAAUACUUUGAUAUUAAAGAUGUAUAAUUGUUAAUGUAGUUAAAUAUUAAAUCAACUUAAGUAAUUAACUAGUGUUAAAUAAUUAAUGCAUAAUAAUGGUGACAAUCUUGAAACCGUGAUUAUUCCUCUGACUAUAAUCGUACCAACAAAAUCUGUAAUCAUUGCAUCCCUACUCUGAGCAAACACAGACCAUUACAAUUAAAAACAAGUCGAUGUGGAUGAAGAAUUAAUUCCUCUGCAGAGGACGACAGUGUGAACACUAGAGUGGGUGUGUGCGACUUACACGUAUGGUCACAGAGUGCAACAGCAGCGUAGUAGUGUGAGAGGGCACGGAAGUGUUCAGAUUUAACCUGAACCAUGGACGCCCAAGAAAACGGCACGUAGUCCUUCAUCAGAGGCUGCGUCAUGGUCUGCUGCACUAACAAGUAGACGUCUGACACCUACAGGACACGCGAGUGUGAGAAUCACGGGAUAUCAACGGUCACUACACAGACAACCAGAGACGUGGUAACUCACCCGUGCGGCCUCUUGUGCCAGGCGGAGUUGGGAAGUGAAGUGUGUGUCCUGUGUGGUGAGCGUGACCCGCUCAAACACACACUCCUGCACCUGGGCAACCAUCAGCCGUACCAGCAUGCAGAGCGAUGGACUACUCAUGUCCAGACUAGGAGCGUUGGAGAAAUUCUCCUUAAGUACCUGCAGCUCUCUGAAAGGCAUCUAUAGCUUUGUCUAUGCCAGCUGUUGCAGAGCGGUCCUGCCGUGCUCCAAUCUGUGUGUACAGAGCACCGAUGUUGAACAACACACUUCCUUUCUCAAAGGCCAACGUUCGCUGACACGACGGGACGCCUGUCAGAGAGUCGUACCUGGGGGACAGAGGAGAAGGAAUAAAAUUACUUUGUGCAUCUGUUUGUGUGUCAUCAAUCAAUCGUAUGAAUCACUCUUUCACUUUUAUACAGUUUUACAGCUACAUAUUUUCUAUUGUCUUUGCACUCUAUCUUGAAAUAAAACUGUGACCAUGA